rnacentral:lncRNA from 1 species
AUUUUUAUACUGAUUCAAAUUUAAUAAGAAUCAUAGUUCAGUCCGCUUGGGUAGCAAGAGGGUUCACUUUAAGCUCUUGUGAUGAAGUGGUUAUAACUUAUAACUUUGUUGGUGAAUUUCCUUCGCAUACACUAACUUUUUCUUCACUUGUUAUCUCUAGUUCCUUUUUAUACGAUGUCUCACCAGUAAUUUUUUUCUCUCCUCUCUUUUGAUUACACAAUAAAUUAAUUUGAAAUACAAUACUUGUUAAGAGUAGCACAAAGAGUUUUGCAGAUGACUAGACGAAUGUAUGUAUUGCUUCUUCUUCCUCGAUCAAUAUAUAAAUUUCUUGCUUGAUUUAUCCGUUAGAGAAUUUUCUUGAAUUCUAGCUAACGAUUCUUCAGUGAGAUCUUCUUUGGAUAGAGAUUCAACUCAAAGGAUUUGAUCACUGGAAAGAAUAUUUGAUAUUUCCAAGAAUAAGGUUAGAGCUUUUUAUGAUUGAGUCUUCCUUGCUUCUAUUGUCUUCAAUAUUGUCACUCGAGUCUUCAGUCAUUGUCGUUUUGAUUUCUUUCUUUCCUUAACUAGUGAUAGAGAUCUUUGACCUGAGGGGUUCAAGUUACGCGUGACUUGUUCACUUUCUGUUUCUCUUCCUUUUUUGAAAUUGACUCUUCUGUGAUUCAAUCUCGUCUUGAUUUCUUUCCUUUUCUUGGACAGUCUCUCCUUGUCGUGUACAGUAGUAAGUUGUGAGCCCAUCUUCUUUCCAUUCUUUUGCAUAAAUUAGAUCUUUUACCUACUGCAAAUUAAUUGGUAAAUAGACACAUUUAUCAUCAUUAAAACCAAUAUGCAACAAACUUCUCAGUCUUAACAUUUCCUUCUUCCGAUAUCAUUUCUUCACAGAAUAUUUUUUAUGUGAAUAGUGUUCAUGAAUAGUAAGCGUGAAUAGUACUAUGUGUAGGAAAUAUUUUCCAACCGUAUAAGGUAAACAACACUCACUAUUGGUGAAUGUUAAUUUUACUAUCAAUGAAUAGUACUUUCACUAUUAUGAAUAGUAUUAGUAUUGUUGAGCAAUAGUUUUGCACUAUUCUGGUGAAUAGAACACUACACCAAUAUCUUAUUUUUCUAUCGGAUUGCACUAUUUAUGCAUUGAUACCCGAUACUGGAUAGCAUGUUAGGCUAAUAUAAAUGAAAAAUAUUUGAAAGAGAACAAAAUCGUAAUACAAGAGAAGGCAAAAUUUAUAUGAUUUGAUAAUAUUUACCUAUUCUAAGGCCACAUAGAGAACAACUUUUUAUUAAUUAAAAGAAGAGAAGAAGUUG